UUGUCCUACGGGAGGCAGCAGUGAGGAAUAUUGGUCAAUGGGCGGGAGCCUGAACCAGCCAAGUCGCGUGAGGGAAGACGGUCCUACGGAUUGUAAACCUCUUUUGCCGGGGAGCAACGGGGUCCUUGCGAGGGCCCGAUGAGGGUACCCGGAGAAAAAGCAUCGGCUAACUCCGUGCCAGCAGCCGCGGUAAUACGGAGGAUGCGAGCGUUAUCCGGAUUUAUUGGGUUUAAAGGGUGCGCAGGCGGAAGAUCAAGUCAGCGGUAAAAUUGAGAGGCUCAACCUCUUCGAGCCGUUGAAACUGG
rnacentral:rRNA from 1 species